CUGAAUAUGAGUGAACUCAGUGUUUUGGACGGCGAGAGGCGACAAGGGCCUGCCUCGCCACGCGGCGAGGCGAGCGGCGAGGCGCUCGCCUUUUUGAAUCG